rnacentral:rRNA from 1 species
UACGUAGGGACCAAGCGUUGUUCGGAUUUACUGGGCGUAAAGGGCGCGUAGGCGGCGAAUCCAGUCAGCUGUGAAAUCUCCGAGCUUAACUCGGAACGGUCAGCUGAUACUGUUUUGCUAGAGUGCAGAAAGGGCAACCGGAAUUCUUGGUGUAGCGGUGAAAUGCGUAGAUAUCAAGAGGAACACCUGAGGCGAAGGCGGGUUGCUAGGCUGACACUGACGCUGAAGCGCGAAAGCUAGGGUAGCAAACGGG